UGGGGAAUUUUGGACAAUGGGGGCAACCCUGACCCAGCAACGCCGCGUGAAGGAUGAAGUAUUUCGGUAUGUAAACUUCGAAAGAAUAGGAAGAAUAAAUGACGGUACUAUUUAUAAGGUCCGACUAACUACGUGCCAGCAGCCGCGGUAAUACGUAGGGACCAAGCGUUGUUCGGAUUUACUGGGCGUAAAGGGCGCGUAGGCGGCAAUUCAAGUCAUCUGUGAAAUCUCCGGGCUUAACUCGGAACGGUCAGAUGAUACUGCUUUGCUAGAGUGCAGAAGGGGCAAUCGGAAUUCUUGGUGUAGCGGUGAAAUGCGUAGAUAUCAAGAGGAACACCUGAGGUGAAGACGG
rnacentral:rRNA from 1 species